rnacentral:rRNA from 1 species
UGCACGGCUGUCGUCAGCUCGUGUCGUGAGAUGUUCGGUUAAGUCCGCUAACGAGCGCAACCCUCGCUGUGUGUUAUAUGUGUCACACGGGACUGACCGGUCUUAAGCCGGAGGAAGGUGGGGAUGAUGUCAAGUCAGCAUGGCCUUUAUAUCCUGGGCUACACACACGCUACAAUGGCCAACACAAUAGGUUGCUAAGCCGCGAGGUGGCGCCAAUCCAUAAAGUUGGUCUCAGUUCAGAUUGUAGGCUGCAACCCGCCUGCAUGAAGAUGGAGUUGCUAGUAACCGCAGGUCAGCUAUACUGCGGUGAAUACGUUCCCGGGGCUU